CAGGACAUAGUUAAAAUAGAAUGCUGGCUUUGGGGGUCAGAGGUGGGAGUUUAAAUCUCUUUGUCUUGA
rnacentral:tRNA from 1 species